UAGUCCAUGCCGUAAACGAUGAUUACUAGCUAUUAGCGAUACAAUGUUAGUGGCAAAGCGAAAGCAUUAAGUAAUCCACCUGGGAAGUACGGUCGCAAGAUUGAAACUCAAAGGAAUUGACGGGGGCCCGCACAAGCGGUGGAGUAUGUGGUUUAAUUCGAAGCAACGCGCAGAACCUUACCUACCCUUAACAUUUCACGACGUAUACAGAGAUGUAUAUUUCUCUUCGGAGACGUGAGGAUAGGUGCUGCAUGGCUGUCGUCAGCUCGUGUCGUAAGAUGUCUGGUUAAGUCCAAUAACGAGCGCAACCCUUAUCAUUAGUUGCCAUCAUUAAGUUGGGCACUUUAAAGAGACUGCCGGUGACAAACCGGAGGAAGGUAAGGAUGACGUCAAGUCAGCAUGCCCCUUAUGCUCUGGGCUACACACGUGCUACAAUGGCCGUGACAAAGAGUUGCUACUUUGUGAAAACAAGCUAAAUCUCAUAAACGCGGACCUCAGUUC
rnacentral:rRNA from 1 species